rnacentral:rRNA from 1 species
GGACUACCGGGGUAUCUAAUCCUGUUUGCUCCCCACGCUGUCGCGCAUCAGCGUCAGCAACAGCCCAGCUGGCCGCCUUCGCCACAGAUGUUCUUCCCGAUCUCUACGCAUUCCACCGCUACACCGGGAAUUCCACCAGCCUCUACUGUGCUCAAGCUCGGCAGUCUAGAAGGCAGCCCCACGGUUGAGCCGUGAGAUUUCACCUCCUACUUACCAAGCCGCCUACGCGCCCUUUACGCCCAGUGAUUCCGGACAACGCUUGCACCCUCUGUAUUACCGCGGCUGCUGGCAC